rnacentral:rRNA from 1 species
GGUGAGUAACACGUGGGUAAUCUGCCUCUAAGACUGGGAUAACAGUCCGAAAGGACUGCUAAUACCGGAUAACACCAUAGCUACCUAGGUAGCAUUGGCCAAAGCAGGGGGCCUUCGGGUCCUGUACUUAGAGAUGAGCCCGCGGCCCAUUAGCUUGUUGGUAGGGUAACGGCCUACCAAGGCUAUGAUGGGUAGCUGGUCUGAGAGGAUGAUCAGUCACACUGGAACUGAGACACGGUCCAGACUCCUACGGGAGGCAGCAGUGGGGAAUAUUGCGCAAUGGGCGAAAGCCUGACGCAGCAACGCCGUGUGGGUGAUGAAGGCUUUCGGGUCGUAAAGCCCUGUCAGAGGGAAAGAACCGGUAGGUGAGGAAAUGCAUCUACCCUGACGGUACCCUCAGAGGAAGCACCGGCUAACUCCGUGCCAGCAGCCGCGGUAAUACGGGGGGUGCAAGCGUUGUUCGGAAUCACUGGGCGUAAAGCGCGUGUAGGCGGAUUUAUAAGUCAGAUGUGAAAGCCCACGGCCCAACCGUGGAACUGCAUUUGAAACUGUAUCUCUAGAGUACGGUAGAGGGAAGGGAAUUCCCGGUGUAGAGGUGAAAUUCGUAGAUAUCGGGAGGAAUACCGGUGGCGAAGGCGCCUUCCUGGACCAUUACUGACGCUGAGACGCGAAAGCGUGGGGAGCAAACAGGAUUAGAUACCCUGGUAGUCCACGCCGUAAACGAUGAGCACUAGAUGUUGCGGGUAUCGACCCCUGCAGUGUCGAAGCUAACGCAUUAAGUGCUCCGCCUGGGGAGUACGGUCGCAAGAUUAAAACUCAAAGGAAUUGACGGGGGCCCGCACAAGCGGUGGAGUAUGUGGUUUAAUUCGAUGCAACGCGAAGAACCUUACCUGGAUUUGACAUCUCCGGAAUACCUUGGAGACUUGGUAGUGCCCUUCGGGGAACCGGAUGACAGGUGCUGCAUGGCUGUCGUCAGCUCGUGUCGUGAGAUGUUGGGUUAAGUCCCGCAACGAGCGCAACCCUUGUUCUUAGUUGCCAUCAUUCAGUUGGGAACUCUAAGAAGACUGCCGGUGUUAAACCGGAGGAAGGUGGGGAUGACGUCAAGUCCUCAUGGCCCUUACGUCCAGGGCUACACACGUACUACAAUGGCCGGUACAAAGGGCAGCGAUACCGCGAGGUGGAGCCAAUCCCAAAAAACCGGCCUCAGUUCGGAUUGCAGUCUGCAACUCGACUGCAUGAAGUCGGAAUCGCUAGUAAUCGCGUAUCAGCAUGACGCGGUGAAUACGUUCCCGGGCCUUGUACACACCGCCCGUCACACCACGGAAGUCGAUUGGACCUGAAAUCGGUUAGCUAACCUUCGGGAGGCAGCCGCUUACGGUCUGGUCGGUAACUGGGGUGAAGUCGUAACAAGGUA